rnacentral:rRNA from 1 species
GAUGAACGCUAGCUACAGGCUUAACACAUGCAAGUCGAGGGGCAGCACAGUGUAGCAAUACAUGGGUGGCGACCGGCGCACGGGUGCGUAACGCGUAUCCAACCUUCCCGUUACUCUUGGAUAGCCUUCCGAAAGGGAGAUUAAUACAAGAUGGUAUUCAAAUUCCGCAUGUUAUUUGAAUUAAAGAUUUAUCGGUAACGGAUGGGGAUGCGUGACAUUAGCUAGAUGGCGGGUAACGGCCCACCAUGGCGACGAUGUCUAGGGGUUCUGAGAGGAAGGUCCCCCANACUGGAACUGAGACACGGUCCAGACUCCUACGGGAGGCAGCAGUGAGGAAUAUUGGUCAAUGGCCGAGAGGCUGAACCAGCCAUGCCGCGUGAAGGUCACGGCCCUAUGGGUCUUAAACUUCUUUUGUAAGGGAGCAAUAAGGUCUACGUGUAGACUGAUGAGAGUACCUUACGAAUAAGCAUCGGCUAACUCCGUGCCAGCAGCCG